GUUUUUAUAGUUAAAUUAUAACGGUGGUUUUUCAAGCCAUUAGUCCUGGUUAAAAUCCUGGUAAAAACU
rnacentral:tRNA from 2 species